GUGCCAGCAGCCGCGGUAAUACAGAGGGUGCAAGCGUUAAUCGGAAUUACUGGGCGUAAAGGGCGCGUAGGUGGGUUGAUAAGUUGGAUGUGAAAUCCCCGGGCUUAACCUGGGAAGGUCAUCCAGUACUGUUAGCCUAGAGUACAGUAGAGGGAAGUGGAAUUUCCGGUGUAGCGGUGAAAUGCGUAGAUAUCGGAAGGAACACCAGUGGCGAAGGCGGCUUCCUGGACUGAUACUGACACUGAGGCGCGAAAGCGUGGGGAGCGAACAGGAUUAGAAACCCGCGUAGUCC
rnacentral:rRNA from 1 species